rnacentral:lncRNA from 1 species
AACCAUAAGGGGACAUAAGCUAAAACACUAAUCAUCUAUGAGUGACCCUGCUAUCCCACACCCAACCCCGGGUGAGGCGUACGAAGAACUCUAUGAGCCUCUAGCCUACAACCCAGAUUCUAGACUUCCAGACUCCCCUAUCAAGGGUCAUGUCCACGGAAACCUGCAUUCUAGUCAUGUCCUGCCUAAUCACCUCUUCCCAAUGCUUCUUAGGUCUCCCUCUUCCUCGCCGACCGCCAACAAUCUCCAGCCGCUCGCAGCUCCUCACCGGGGCAUCGNN